rnacentral:lncRNA from 1 species
UCAUCUGGAUAUAUGGGAACAGAAGUGCCAGACACGUAGAUAAUAUUUGGAGAACAGGAGCAGACUUGGAACAUGCUGAAUAGAGGACAAGGAAGUAUCAUCAGACAAACUUAAAGAUGAUCUGACAAUGUCAUUUUCCAAGGGACUGAUAGAAAGAUUGAGUAUCAUGGAAUCAGAACAGACAACAGAGAAUCAGAUUCUGCUACCCCACUCCCAUCUAUGCUGGUCUGCUGAAAAAAC